rnacentral:rRNA from 1 species
UACGAAGGGGGCUAGCGUUGUUCGGAAUUACUGGGCGUGAAGCGCGUGUAGGCGGGCCGUUAAGUCGGGGGUGAAAGCCCAGAGCUCAACUCUGGAAUUGCCUUCGAUACUGGCGGCCUGGAGCAUGAUAGGGGCGAGUGGAAUUGCGAGUGUAGAGGUGAAAAUCGUAGAUAUUCGCAGGAACACCAGUGGCGAAGGCGACUCGCUGGAUCAUUGCUGACGCUGAGACGCGAAAGCGUGGGGAGCAAACAGG